UAAGCAUAUCAAUAAGCGGAGGAAAAGAAACCAACAGGGAUUGCCCUAGUAACGGCGAGUGAAGCGGCAACAGCUCAAAUUUGAAAUCUGGCUCUUUUAGAGUCCGAGUUGUAAUUUGCAGAGGGCGCUUUGGCUUUGGCAGCGGUCCAAGUUCCUUGGAACAGGACGUCACAGAGGGUGAGAAUCCCGUACGUGGUCGCUGGCUAUUGCCGUGUAAAGCCCCUUCGACGAGUCGAGUUGUUUGGGAAUGCAGCUCUAAAUGGGAGGUACAUUUCUUCUAAAGCUAAAUAUUGGCCAGAGACCGAUAGCGCACAAGUAGAGUGAUCGAAAGAUGAAAAGCACUUUGGAAAGAGAGUCAAACAGCACGUGAAAUUGUUGAAAGGGAAGCGCUUGCAGCCAGACUUGCUUACAGUUGCUCAUCCGGGUUUCUACCCGGUGCACUCUUCUGUAGGCAGGCCAGCAUCAGUUUGGGCGGUAGGAUAAAGGUCUCUGUCACGUACCUCCUUUCGGGGAGGCCUUAUAGGGGAGACGACAUACUACCAGCCUGGACUGAGGUCCGCGCAUCUGCUAGGAUGCUGGCGUAAUGGCUGUAAGCGGCCCGUCUUGAAACACGGACCAAGGAGUCUAACAUCUAUGCGAGUGUUUGGGUGUCAAGCCCGAGCGCGUAAUGAAAGUGAACGGAGGUGGGAACCCGCAAGGGUGCACCAUCGACCGAUCCUGAUGUCUUCGGAAGGAUUUGAGUAAGAGCAUGGCUGUUGGGACCCGAAAGAUGGUGAACUAUGCUUGAAUAGGGUGAAGCCAGAGGAAACUCUGGUGGAGGCUCGCAGCGGUUCUGACGUGCAAUCGAUCGUCAAAUUUGGGCAUAGGG
rnacentral:rRNA from 1 species